UCCCCUUGGUGGCCAAAGCUAGGCUCAG
rnacentral:piRNA from 1 species